rnacentral:rRNA from 1 species
UAGCGUAUAUUAAAGUUGUUGCAGUUAAAAAGCUCGUAGUCGGAUUUCGGGUCGGGCCGAGCGGUCUGCCGAUGGGUAUGCACUGUUCGGCGCGGCCUUCUUUCCGGAGACCGCGGCUACUCUUAACUGAGCGGGCGUGGGAGACGGAUCGUUUACUUUGAAAAAAUCAGAGUGUUUCAAGCAGGCAGCUCGCUCUUGCAUGGAUUAGCAUGGGAUAAUGAAAUAGGACUCUGGUGCUAUUUUGUUGGUUUCGAACACCGGAGUAAUGAUUAACAGGGACAGUCAGGGGCACUCGUAUUCCGUCGAGAGAGGUGAAAUUCUCAGACCAAUGGAAGACGAACCACUGCGAAAGCAUUUG